GCAGGUCGAGCCAGGUAGACCCGACGUCUGCUCACCUCAUUGUCACUUCUCAGAGAUGCCUUCCCUUAACACCCCCCACCCCCACCGGCUUGUGCUAUCUACAUUGGGGAGAGGGAAAUGAGAUCACUUGUCAAGAAAUGUACAUUUUCUCAGAAGACCUUGAUGCCACGGAAGCAGCAAGGCACAAAACCAUAAAUGACGGACGGCUGAAGCACAUGGGCUCAGAGCUUAAGUUUCCGGGAAAGGAAAGCGGGCGGUGGGUCAAUAACGUCGGAGUCCUCCCUGGCUCCCUGGCCCAAGGCAAAGCCCCUGACCACGGUCCUGACGUUGGCAACACCAGCUCCUUCUUCCUGAACGUUUGCCUGGUUCUGCCGCGAGGCUGGAGUAGACAGUUUCAACCUCCCAGGAACUCCGCAGUACUCUCUGUCUGUGCAGGUCAGGAAACUGAGGCUCAGAAUGAUGGAACAGUUGAUCCAAGUUCACAGAACGACAGAGGAUAGCAAGGCUGGACUUGAAGCCGUCCAUGCCCCGUGUUAACUCCUAGACCAUGUCGCCUGCCCUUCACCCACCGCUGCAGCAGAAAGGCCCCCUCAUUCCUGCGCUUGACUCCAGAAAAACCUUGGCCUUAUCUUCUCAGGGAGGCCUGGCGGAGCACCCAAACGACCACCAAAAUGGUUUAGGCUGUUUGCAGGAGGCCGCGGCCCCGCCGUCUCCACUGCGCUCCUCCAGGCUUUCCCCGCCCGGCUCCAGCCUCAGGAAGUGGCGCCGCGGAGAACCGCUCCUCCAGCCUCGCCUCCUGCGGAGAGUGUCCUCCCCGGGAGCGUUUCCUGACCUAAUUAAGCCGGGUAAUGAGUAGCUAAGAGGAAGGGCAUAAAAGCCCUAGGCGGCUUAGAGCCGGGACACUUUAUGACGGGGGCAUCUGCAGCUGGUGACACUCUUAGGAAAGUUAUUUCUCAUAAUCCUGGGAAGUGGCACACUGUUGCCACAGCAGAGCGAGCCCUGAGGUGCUCAAAAUUGCAUCCUGGAAAAUACCGAGUGUCCCAGAAGCCCUGGCCUAGAGGACCAGGAAGACUGACAGCAGCUGGCCUAACUGGGUCCCUCAAAGGCCAGAAGUUGACUGUUUCUACCCCCAGCCUCUGCCCCAAGAACUCGAGACCCACCCCAACGCCUCACGCACAGCCUACUACCAAUUCACCUUCUGCUCUUGCACUGUGUCUGUUUUGUUCAUUUGUUUAAAUCAUUUCACAUUCACUCUUGAGUUGGCCACCCCCCACCCCACCCCCACCCCUGCUGCUGUGUGUUGGGGAGGAGCACCCAGUCAGGGCCUGGGCUCUGGAGUGGGUUCCAUCACUAAAGCCCCUGAGUGAGCUUGCUGGCAACAACAUGUGACCUCUCAGCCAUCAUUCUCCCACGUGUAAAAUGAGGGUCUUGGUGCUGCCUUGCCUCCAAUAUGCUUUGAGCCCACAAUCUUCACCCCGUGAGCAGUGGGAAACAUAAUGUGUGAUGGGGGAACACAAGGCUAGCUGAGGACAAGGCACGAGCCUAGAGCAGCACAUUGACAAGUCCUUGAAAGAGGCAGAGGGACUCUACGGACUCAGCUGCCUCGAUGUUCAUGCUUUGCUAAGGGCAGGAGACAAUCCUAGCCUGACCCCUAUGACCCUGAGAGUCUACUUUAACAUAUAAAAAUUCCUUCAGAAAUUUCCUUUAUGUCCAAACCCCCAAUAUACGUGUUGGCAAUCAUCCCCCAAGCACAUGGCCCACCGACAUACAUCUGAAGGGUCUCAUGACUCAGGUUUUAUUAGACGGUAAUAAGUGACCUUUUCCCAAUGAAAGCCAGCCCCCUCAAGGUCCUGGAAACCUUGCUUCCAAAAUUCCUUAGAGAGUACACGAUGCUGAAACCCCUCCCAACUCCCAGGUCUAUAAUCUGCCACAGGCCCCGGGGCAGCAGUCCUUCCUACCCACGGGUCCUGUCCCCUGUGCUUUAAUAAAACCACCAUU